CCUAGGCUCAACCCCCAGUAACACACACACUCAUACACACAACACACACGUGCACACACGCACACACACACACACACCCAUCUAUGGCAGCUGCCCCUUCCCUGUAGCACCAGAGCCCUGCAGUGGGCUGAUAAAUUGAGCAGUUGUGUGGAGUCGGCAGCCGCAGGGAGAAUGCAGAGGCUGGGGAACAUGGGGGAGGACAGUUAGAAGGCGCUCCGUCCCCUGCCACGUUCAUGGUUUCUCCCAUGCCCUGUUCUGUCACCUGGGGCCUGUGAUUUGCAUGCGCUGUAGUCACUGCAGUUGGAGCCACCCCACGAUCACGACAGAGAAGGGGCUGUGCUUGAGAGGCCCGGGAGCUGUCACGCCUGGACGUCCAUCUGGACAGAGCAGGGAGCACCCCUGGGGGAGCAGACUGGGGCAAGCUGGAGCUGGAGCUGGUGCUGAAGGGGUCCUUUGAAGACACGCAGACGUCUGCCCUGGGCACAGCCUCUGCCUUCCGCUUCCAUUACCUGGCAGCCCAGGACACAGAGCUGCAUGGGCGCCUGAAGGUGUGUCUGCUCACCAGCUCUCCUGGCCUCUUUUAGCAAACACAGCGGUGGCAGAGCCCUCCCUGCCUCCUCCUGCCAAGGCCAGGCCUCCUGUAGCCUCCUCA
rnacentral:lncRNA from 1 species